rnacentral:rRNA from 1 species
GACGAACGCUGGCGGCAUGCUAUACACAUGCAAGUCGGACGAGUGGCGAACGGGUGAGUAAUCUCUUGGAACGUCCCGAGUAAUUGGGGAUCACCCAUCGAAAGCUUGGCUAAUACCGCAUAUUAUUCGAGCGUCCAAUCUCUGAUUAGCUAGUUGGUGGGGUAAAGGCCUACCAAGGCGACGAUCAGUAGCGGGUCUGCGAGGAUGAUCGGCAACACGGGGACUGAGACACGGCCCAGACUCCUACGGGAGGCAGCAGUGGGGAAUUUUGGACAAUGGGCGCAAGCCUGAUCCAGCCAUGCCGCGUGUAUGAAGAAGGCCUUCGGGUUGUAAAGGACUUUUGUUAGGGAAGCGGUACCGAAAGAAUAAGCACCGGAUAACUACGUGCCAGCAGCCGCGGUAAUUC